rnacentral:tRNA from 1 species
ACCGAAAUAGCUCAGUUGGAACACCGUUAGACUAUAGAUAGAAAGGUUCCUGGUUCGAUCUCGGGGUUCGGCA